UACGAAGGGGGCUAGCGUUGUUCGGAAUUACUGGGCGUAAAGCGCACGUAGGCGGACUCUUAAGUCGGUGGUGAAAUCCUGGAGCUCAAAUCCAGAACUGCCUUUGAUACUGAAGAUCUUGAGUUCGGGAGAGGUGAGUGGAACUGCGAGUGUAGAGGUGAAAUUCGUAGAUAUUCGCAAGAACACCAGUGGCGAAGGCGGCUCACUGGCCCGAUACUGACGCUGAGGCACGAAAGCGUGGGGAGCAAACAGG
rnacentral:rRNA from 1 species